rnacentral:rRNA from 1 species
GAUGAACGCUGGCGGCGUGCCUAAUACAUGCAAGUCGAGCGAACGGACGAGAAGCUUGCUUCUCUGAUGUUAGCGGCGGACGGGUGAGUAACACGUGGAUAACCUACCCAUAAGACUGGGAUAACUUCGGGAAACCGUAGCUAAUACCGGAUAAUAUUUUGAACCGCAUGGUUCAAAAGUGAAAGACGGUCUUGCUGUCACUUAUAGAUGGAUCCGCGCUGCAUUAGCUAGUUGGUAAGGUAACGGCUUACCAAGGCAACGAUGCAUAGCCGACCCGAGAGGGUGAUCGGCCACACUGGAACUGAGACACGGUCCAGACUCCUACGGGAGGCAGCAGUAGGGAAUCUUCCGCAAUGGGCGAAAGCCUGACGGAGCAACGCCGCGUGAGUGAUGAAGGUCUUCGGAUCGUAAAACUCUGUUAUUAGGGAAGAACAUAUGUGUAAGUAACUGUGCACAUCUUGACGGUACCUAAUCAGAAAGCCACGGCUAACUACGUG